rnacentral:rRNA from 1 species
UCUCAGUUCGGACUGUGGUCUGCAACCCGACCACACGAAGCUGGAAUCGCUAGUAAUCGCGAAUCAGAAUGUCGCGGUGAAUACGUUCCCGGGUCUUGUACACACCGCCCGUCACACCAUGGGAGUCAGCAACGCCCGAAGUCAGUGACCUAACCGAAAGGGAGGAGCUGCCGAAGGCGGGGCCGGUAACUGGGGUGAAGUCGUAACAAGGUACC